rnacentral:rRNA from 1 species
UAGCCGUAAACGAUACUCGCUAGGUGUCGGCCACGGUGCGACCGUUGUCGGUGUCGUAGGGAAGCCGUGAAGCGAGCCACCUGGGAAGUACGGCCGCAAGGCUGAAACUUAAAGGAAUUGGCGGGGGAGCACAACAACGGGUGGAGCUUGCGGUUUAAUUGGAUUCAACGCCGGAAAUCUUACCGGGACCGACAGCAACAUGAAGGCCAAGCUGAAGACUUUGCCGGAUUAGCUGAGAGGAGGUGCAUGGCGUAGUCGUGU